rnacentral:rRNA from 1 species
AGUGAACGCUGGCGGUAGGCCUAACACAUGCAAGUCGAACGGCAGCACAGUAAGAUCUUGCUCUUACGGGUGGCGAGUGGCGGACGGGUGAGGCAUACAUCGGAAUCUACUUUUUCGUGGGGGAUAACGUAGGGCAGCUUACGCUAAUACCGCAUACGACCUACGGGUGAAAGCAGGAGAUCUUCGGACCUUUCGCGACUGAAUGAGCCGAUGUCGGAUUAGCUUGUUUGCUAGGUAAAGGCCCACCAAGGCGACGAUCCGUAGCCGAUCUGAGCGGAUGGUCAGCCACACUGGAACUGAGACACGGGCCAGACUCAUACGGUAGACAGCAGUAGGGAAUCUUCCGGAAUGGGCGAAAGCCGGACGGAGCAACGCCGCGUGAAGGAGGAAGGUCUGCUGAUCGUAAAACGCUGUGAUUAGGGAAAAACAAAUGUGUAAGCAACUAUGCACGGCUUGACGGUACCUAAUCAGAAAGCCACGGCUAACUACAUG